rnacentral:rRNA from 1 species
AUUGAACGCUGGCGGCAGGCUUAACACAUGCAAGUCGAGCGGGGUGAUGGUGCUUGCACUAUCACUUAGCGGCGGACGGGUGAGUAAUGCUUAGGAAUCUGCCUAUUAGUGGGGGACAACAUCUCGAAAGGGAUGCUAAUACCGCAUACGUCCUACGGGAGAAAGCAGGGGAUCACUUGUGACCUUGCGCUAAUAGAUGAGCCUAAGUCGGAUUAGCUAGUGGGUGGGGUAAAGGCCUACCAAGGCGACGAUCUGUAGCGGGUCUGAGAGGAUGAACCGCCACACUGGAACGGAGACACGGCCCAUACUCCUACGGGAGGCAGCAGUGGGGAAUAUUGGACAAUGGGGGGAACCCUGUUCCAGCCAUGCCGCGUGUGUGAAGAAGGCCUUAUGGUUGUAAAGCACUUUAAGCGAGGAGGAGGCUCUUUUGGUUAAUACCCAAGAUGAGUGGACGUUACUCGCAGAAUAAGCACCGGCUAACUCUGUGCCAGCAGCCGCCGUAA